CAACAACAACAACAGGAAAAGCGGGAAAUCGGUAAAAACGUCCAUGGUAUUCUUGUACAACAUGGUAAAUAUUCAUAAUGUUAAACCCUUCUUCCCCUCCCCCUCCCCCCUGCAAAACAAUUAAAUUGAUAACAGAAUGGCUUUCCGUAAGCAUCAUAAUUGUAAUUUGGAUACAAAAAAUUACGUAGACCAUGUAUAUGGAACAAAUAUUUGUAAUUGAGGCAACAUGGUUUAAGAUGUCGAAUCCAGUUAAGUGUCAGAAUGAAGCGCUUAAACGUACUAACCUGCGAACAGGCUCCCAGCGGGGACGGGAAAAAGACAAUUCGGCGAGCAAAGAGAGCCGUUAAGCUUCACCAGACGGCUCUCGGCUAACCCCGCUCGCCCUAGACCUCACUCGGUUAGCUCGCACCAAACCCGACCGGGAGCCUGUUCGCAGGCUAGAACGUACCAAGUUUGAGGGGAGAUGGUCAGGGAGCUUGCCAGUUACAGUUGUUAUUUUACCUGUUGACAUCCUGAUGUCUUACAGUGCAAACUGUUUUAUUAAUCUAACGUGCUGCCUUUGUUUUAGAUUUGUUGGUGGGUUCCCAAUCUGGCGCAGUCAGCAGAUACUUAUAAAGCAAUAGGGAUUUAGAGAGGGGCAAAAUGUGACUAUGAUCACCAUCAAGACAAGACGCCAGUUGUUGUGUACCCAGCUUCUACAGAGUUUCAGAAUCGAACGUCCAUUGUCAAACUAAAAUGUGCUGAGGGAAAGAAAGAUACACCAACUUUUAAAAUACUUGAUAAAGAUCAUUGGAUAUUCGAGUUGACCCACUUUUGGGAGGCUUGCCCUACUAAGUCACCGCCACAUCCGGAGCCUUCUAACAGCCCAGGUGUCCCGGUAAUUGUCGCAAGUGCUGUUGGUGGUUUCUUUGCUCUUACUUGGCUUAUAUAUGCCGUCAGGUAUUGUAAGAAAGAACGGAAUGGAAACAACGAUGAUGGGGAACGACAACCUAUCAUCGAUAACGAAAUCCAUAAUCCAAUUGAAGAAUUGGACCCAGCGAAUCGGUCACGGCCAUCGCCCAGUGGUUCAUCGCACGCUAAAGCUGACGUCAACGUUAUUGGAAGUGUGCAUUCUUAAGGAACUGUUUUUUUACCUGUGUUUGAGAUUUUAUCAUUUUUUUUGUUAUUUAGCACCUGACUUGGAAUGCCUCUAUUACAAUUUCAGCAGUUUACGUAGGAGAUCCUACCUUAACAGGAAAGAGUUUUUUCACGAGCGAAUAGUAAAAAAGUUGUAAACGAAUGGAUAAUCGCUUCUAGAGAACUAAGGCGAGUGGUUUAGUCGUUGUAGUUGUCAGGAAACCAACAAUCUAGAGAUAUUUUUAA